GGCCAUUAUAUAUAUUUUACCCGAGCCCAAUACAACACAUUACCUACUCUCUCGCAUAUUUUAGGGUUCAGCCGUUUCUACCCCAAUCCCUAUAUAUACAUAACACUGCUUCUUCUUCAUCAUUCCACAGCCCAUAUUGGAUUCAAUCUAUUCGUAUUUUUGUUUCUGCAUCGUUAUCAUAGCUUCCAGUGGCAUCUUCGACUAACUACCCAGAGGCUAAUUGCAAGAAGAAAUCACAAGAAAACUACGUCGUAUGAUGACGUAGAAAUCGAAGACAUGGGGUGGAACGAGGAGUUGCAGUCAUACACGUAUCCUUGUCCAUGUGGGGACCUGUUCCAGAUCACAAAGGAAGAUCUCAAGCUUGGCGAGGAGAUUGCUCGCUGCCCCAGUUGCUCCCUCUACAUCACUGUUAUCUACAACAUGGACGAUUUUUUUGGCGAUUCUGAUCAAAAUAGAAUAAAUAAGGGUCUUUAGCCCUCCAAACAAUAUUAUUGAAAAUAUACUAUUAAAUUUUUUAAUUUAUACUAAAAUUUUUAAAAAUUAACAAAAAUAUAAUAUUGAAAAUCGAAGACUUUUUAAAUAUAUUAUUAAACUUUUUAAUUUAUACUAAAUUUUUUCCCAGGGGAAUUUUUAAUGUACACUAUUUUGCUAAAAAUGUUCAAAGAUAGAAUAUUACGAAAAUUGAGGAAGUCGCAUAGUUAAAUAUUGAGAAUAACAUAAUAAAUCCUAAUAUGUGAAUCCUAGUAAAGCCCAUCUCUAUAGUGCCGCUUAAACCUGUCCAUUCCGUGAAACCUAUACCCACCACCACAAGAAUAACUUUAUAAUUUAAAUAGGAAGUUCUCAUAUAAAGAAACUCUGGUGAAAAAUAGGUAGACACUCUUUAUAAGCCUAAACCUAUUUUAGAUUUAGUAACAUGAGUUUUCAAAAUUUUUGUUAUGACUUAAAUAAAAAUCUUUCAAUUCAACAAUUAAACUUAAAAAAUCAAACUCAAAACUCUAUCUACUUUUGCAUGAUUAAUUGCAUCAAAUUAACUCAAUGAGAAAAUCAGAUAGGAUGAUUGGAAUAUAGAAUUGUUUACGGAGCGCUUCAAACUACUGUCUCUCAUUUUUUGUUUUUAGCCGUUGUAUCACGCCACCUUUCGCUACCUGUUUUUGAGGGUCUAUUAAACAUAUUUUUAUUAAAAUAUUAUUAGAAUACAAAUAUAAGUUUUGUAUAAUUAAUUAAUUUGAUCAAUACAUUAAUUAUAAAACUAUAAGAAAAUCACUUAUUUUUUUAUAAUUUCUUAACCAUAUUUUCUAUUUUAUUAACCAAUUAGAAACAUUAGUAGCAUUAAUCUUAUAUAUACCAUUAAUCUUAGUUGUUUUACUAGAGACUUUAAUUUUUAAUGUUUGAAUGGUUAAUAGCAAAGCUAUGUGAUAGAUUAAUUAAUUUAUUAUCCUCAAUUAAUCAAUUUUAUUUUUAUAAUUUUUCUUACAUCUAUUUACUUUUUUUCUAAUCCAGCCGUCAAUAGAAAGUAUAAUAUUAAUCAUUUUUUAAUAUGAAAUUAUAAAAUAUCUUAUCCAUAAUUUUCUUAAGGAUUUAGAUUUGAAAAUUUAUUAACCAAAUUAUAAUAUAUAUAUUAGACAGUCUCAUAAAUACCAUUAACCUUAGUUAAUUUACUACCUAAUAUUUUAUUUUUAGUAUUUGGGCACUCGGAAAUUUCGGAAAUUAAUCUAUAAUCUAAAUUAAUCAAAAAUUAAAUUAUAAUCAAAAUUAAUCAAUUUAUUAUACUCAGUUAAUCAAUUUAUUCAAACGCUAUUUCACCAUUUCAAAAAUACCCAUGUUUCAGAGCUAAUGGGUGAUCUUGGCCCCAUGACCCCAACAAGAUCGACGACAUUCCUGUUAGCAACAUAUUUUCGGGCAGCAAUGGAACUUGGUCGAUCUCAAUCCUUUGAUUCCAAAUUUUAUCAAAGCCAUAGUUUGCAACUGUGUCAUCCCUUUCGAUCUCCGCCUAUACAAACACAUUUGGAACCUCUGUCCUGCAGGUGACCUUCCUCCUAAUGUUGCUCAUGAGUUUAAAAGAGGUAAAAGCCUCCUAUUAGCUAGGACAAUCUCGUUUGGUCUAAAUUCUUUCUCCAACCCAAAUCUUUAAUGGUGUAACGGUUAAUCUUGAAUAAGAUUCCGACUAAUGAGCUGUUAAAAAGGAGGGGUUUAAUAUUUGCCUCUGCUUAUAGUCUCUGGAAUAAGUUUGAGGAAACUUCACUUCA